rnacentral:rRNA from 1 species
UUUAAAGAGAGUUUGAUCCUGGCUCAGGACGAACGCUGGCGGCGUGCCUAAUACAUGCAAGUCGAACGAACGGAGGAAGAGCUUGCUCUUCCAAUGUUAGUGGCGGACGGGUGAGUAACACGUGGGCAACCUGCCUGUAAGUUGGGGAUAACUCCGGGAAACCGGGGCUA